AUUGAACGCUGGCGGCAUGCCUUACACAUGCAAGUCGAACGGCAGCGGGGACUUCGGUCCGCCGGCGAGUGGCGAACGGGUGAGUAAUGUAUCGGAACGUACCUUUCAGUGGGGGAUAACGUAGCGAAAGUUACGCUAAUACCGCAUAUUCUCUGAGGAGGAAAGCAGGGGACCUUCGGGCCUUGCGCUGAUGGAGCGGCCGAUAUCAGAUUAGCUAGUUGGUGGGGUAAAGGCUCACCAAGGCUACGAUCUGUAGCGGGUCUGAGAGGAUGAGCCGCCACACUGGGACUGAGACACGGCCCAGACUCCUACGGGAGGCAGCAGUGGGGAAUUUUGGACAAUGGGCGAAAGCCUGAUCCAGCCAUGCCGCGUGAGUGAAGAAGGCCUUCGGGUUGUAAAGCUCUUUCGGACGGGAAGAAAUCAUGAGGGCUAAUAUCCCUUGUGGAUGACGGUACCGUAAUAAGAAGCACCGGCUAACUACGUGCCAGCCGCCGCCGUAA
rnacentral:rRNA from 1 species